GUGGAUUAGAUACCCUGGUAGUCCACGCCGUAAACGAUGUUCACUAGGUGUUGGGGGUAUUGACCCCCUCAGUGCCGGAGCUAACGCAUUAAGUGAACCGCCUGGGGAGUACGGUCGCAAGACUAAAACUCAAAGGAAUUGACGGGGGCCCGCACAAGCGGUGGAGCAUGUGGUUUAAUUCGAUGCAACGCGAAGAACCUUACCUGGGCUUGACAUCCCGGGAAUCCCCUGGAAACAGGGGAGUGCCCUUCGGGGAACCCGGAGACAGGUGCUGCACGGUCGUCGCCAACU
rnacentral:rRNA from 1 species